rnacentral:rRNA from 1 species
UACGGAGGGUGCAAGCGUUAUCCGGAUUCACUGGGUUUAAAGGGAGCGUAGGUGGCCUUGUAAGUCAGUGGUGAAAUCCUGUCGCUUAACGAUAGAAUUGCCAUUGAUACUGCAGGGCUUGAGUACAGUUGCCGUUGGCGGAAUAUGACAUGUAGUGGUGAAAUACAUAGAUAUGUCAUAGAACACCGAUUGCGAAGGCAGCUGACGAAACUGUAACUGACACUGAGGCUCGAAAGUGUGGGGAUCAAACAGG